rnacentral:rRNA from 1 species
GACGAACUGUCCUAACGUUGUUCGGAAUCACUGGGCUUAAAGGGCGCGUAGGCGGUCCGACAAGUCAGGGGUGAAAUCCUGCAGCUUAACUGCAGAAGUGCCUUUGAUACUGGCGGUCUUGAGCCACCUAGGGGCAACUGGAACAAGCGGUGGAGCGGUGAAAUGCGUAGAUAUCGCUUGGAACGCCAACGGUGAAAACAGGUUGCUGGGGGUGUGCUGACGCUGAGACACGAAAGCCAGGGGAGCGAACGGG